rnacentral:rRNA from 1 species
ACCCGCUGACGAGCGGCGGACGGGUGAGUAAUGCAUAGGAAUCUGCCCGAUAGUGGGGGAUAACCUGGGGAAACCCAGGCUAAUACCGCAUACGUCCUACGGGAGAAAGGGGGCUCCGGCUCCCGCUAUUGGAUGAGCCUAUGUCGGAUUAGCUAGUUGGUGAGGUAAUGGCUCACCAAGGCAACGAUCCGUAGCUGGUCUGAGAGGAUGAUCAGCCACAUCGGGACUGAGACACGGCCCGAACUCCUACGGGAGGCAGCAGUGGGGAAUAUUGGACAAUGGGCGAAAGCCUGAUCCAGCCAUGCCGCGUGUGUGAAGAAGGCCCUCGGGUUGUAAAGCACUUUCAGCGAGGAAGAACGCCUAGUGGUUAAUACCCAUUAGGAAAGACAUCACUCGCAGAAGAAGCACCGGCUAACUCCGUGCCAGCAGCCGCGGUAAUACGGAGGGUGCAAGCGUUAAUCGGAAUUACUGGGCGUAAAGCGCGCGUAGGUGGCUUGAUAAGCCGGUUGUGAAAGCCCCGGGCUCAACCUGGGAACGGCAUCCGGAACUGUCAAGCUAGAGUGCAGGAGAGGUAGGUAGAAUUCCCGGUGUAGCGGUGAAAUGCGUAGAGAUCGGGAGGAAUACCAGUGGCGAAGGCGGCCUUCUGGACUGACACUGACACUGAGGUGCGAAAGCGUGGGUAGCAAACAGGACUAGAUACCCUGGUAGUCCACGCCGUAAACGAUGUCGACCAGCCGUUGGGUGCCUAGCGCACUUUGUGGCGAAGUUAACGCGAUAAGUCGACCGCCUGGGGAGUCGGCCGCAAGGUUAAAAC